rnacentral:rRNA from 1 species
AAAUUGAAGAGUUUGAUCAUGGCUCAGAUUGAACGCUGGCGGCAGGCCUAACACAUGCAAGUCGAACGGUAACAGGAAGCAGCUUGCUGCUUCGCUGACGAGUGGCGGACGGGUGAGUAAUGUCUGGGAAACUGCCUGAUGGAGGGGGAUAACUACUGGAAACGGUGGCUAAUACCGCAUAACGUCGCAAGACCAAAGAGGGGGACCUUCGGGCCUCUUGCCAUCAGAUGUGCCCAGAUGGGAUUAGCUGGUUGGUGAGGUAACGGCUCACCAAGGCGACGAUCCCUAGCUGGUCUGAGAGGAUGACCAGCCACACUGGAACUGAGACACGGUCCAGACUCCUACGGGAGGCAGCAGUGGGGAAUAUUGCACAAUGGGCGCAAGCCUGAUGCAGCCAUGCCGCGUGUAUGAAGAAGGCCUUCGGGUUGUAAAGUACUUUCAGCGGGGAGGAAGGUGUUGUGGUUAAUAACCGCAGCAAUUGACGUUACCCGCAGAAGAAGCACCGGCUAACUCCGUGCCAGCAGCCGCGGUAAUACGGAGGGUGCAAGCGUUAAUCGGAAUUACUGGGCGUAAAGCGCACGCAGGCGGUCUGUCAAGUCGGAUGUGAAAUCCCCGGGCUCAACCUGGGAACUGCAUUCGAAACUGGCAGGCUUGAGUCUUGUAGAGGGGGGUAGAAUUCCAGGUGUAGCGGUGAAAUGCGUAGAGAUCUGGAGGAAUACCGGUGGCGAAGGCGGCCCCCUGGACAAAGACUGACGCUCAGGUGCGAAAGCGUGGGGAGCAAACAGGAUUAGAUACCCUGGUAGUCCACGCCGUAAACGAUGUCUACUUGGAGGUUGUGCCCUUGAGGCGUGGCUUCCGGAGCUAACGCGUUAAGUAGACCGCCUGGGGAGUACGGCCGCAAGGUUAAAACUCAAAUGAAUUGACGGGGGCCCGCACAAGCGGUGGAGCAUGUGGUUUAAUUCGAUGCAACGCGAAGAACCUUACCUGGUCUUGACAUCCACAGAACUUUCCAGAGAUGGAUUGGUGCCUUCGGGAACUGUGAGACAGGUGCUGCAUGGCUGUCGUCAGCUCGUGUUGUGAAAUGUUGGGUUAAGUCCCGCAACGAGCGCAACCCUUAUCCUUUGUUGCCAGCGGUUAGGCCGGGAACUCAAAGGAGACUGCCAGUGAUAAACUGGAGGAAGGUGGGGAUGACGUCAAGUCAUCAUGGCCCUUACGACCAGGGCUACACACGUGCUACAAUGGCGCAUACAAAGAGAAGCGACCUCGCGAGAGCAAGCGGACCUCAUAAAGUGCGUCGUAGUCCGGAUUGGAGUCUGCAACUCGACUCCAUGAAGUCGGAAUCGCUAGUAAUCGUGGAUCAGAAUGCCACGGUGAAUACGUUCCCGGGCCUUGUACACACCGCCCGUCACACCAUGGGAGUGGGUUGCAAAAGAAGUAGGUAGCUUAACCUUCGGGAGGGCGCUUACCACUUUGUGAUUCAUGACUGGGGUGAAGUCGUAACAAGGUAACCGUAGGGGAACCUGCGGUUGGAUCACCUCCUUA